UGUUUAAUAAUUUAUAUUUAUAAAAUAUUAAAUUGCAAAUUUAAAAAAAUUUUUUAAAUUUAAACAU
rnacentral:tRNA from 1 species